UCGAAAGUUUUACAUCGGAGUAAAAUAUCGUCGACGUACUUGGUUAGUCCAUCUUUGUCUGGUAUUACGUGGUUAAUGAGUUUUACGAAAUACGCUGAAGAUAUUUUAAGUCCAUAUGGUAAACGUAUGAAUUGGUAGACACGCCCAUCGAUUUGGAAAGCGCAAUAUUUACGAAAAGAUUCUUCGAGCACGAUUUGCCAGAAACCAGCAACGAAAUCUAACGAACUGAAAAACUUGGCUUCUGGGUAUUCUGUGAGUAUCCUAUCUAGUAAUCCAGCUUCGUUGUAAUCUUCUUCUAGAAUUGGGUUUAGGUCCACAGGAUUUAGACAUAUUCGCAUGUCACCAUUUUUCUUGAUGUUAAUUACGAUAGGAUUAAUAAAUUUAGAAUUGGACGGUUCAAUUACGUUUGUUGCAAGCAUGAUUUGGAUUUCUUUCUUGAUGGCUUCCAUCAUCUUUUUAGAUGGAUUGUAUUUACCACUUCGAUAAACUAUCUUGUUUUGCGGAGUAUUGAACACCAAUUUAGAUUUCUUUCCUUUAUAACGACCUGGGAAUUUGCUAAAAAUGUCUUUGUAAGGUGAUAGGAUAUUGUAGGCGUAAUCAGCUUGUUGUUGAGUUAAUCGUUGUUCUGAUACUGCUUCGUCUAAGUCAGCUUUUAAUUUCUUAAUAAAUGUUUCAGGUCCAGUAUCUUUAACGCCAUCGGGUAAAGAGUAGAAUCUGCGAGCAGUGUCGGCUCGGUUCAAAAUGGCAUACAUUUCGUCGACAUAUUGCGAUCCCAUCGUAAUGUUGUUAAUUGCAAGUUUGUCUGCAUAUUCGUGGAAUUGUAGAAUUGGGAUACUUUCGAUGUCGUGUUCGGGGGUACGAUUAUAUAUUCCGAGGUGGUUACUACUUGUUUGUUCGCCAUCAUGCAUUGAACUGGUUCGUGUAAUUCUAAAAAAUCAAGCUCGCUGGAAUGUUCUCGUAUCAAUCUUAACGCUGUUUCUUCAGAUAUAACGUUAAGGACUGCCCCAGUGUCAAGUUGGGUUGGGAAGUCCGUUUCACCAAUUUGGAGAUUGACUACGCACGUUUGUGGCAUCAUCCGUCGCUGUAUUAAUUGGGAAACUACCGAAGGAGUUUCAUCGUUGCUCAGAGUUGAAUUUUUUAUUAAAUCAGGGUAUUCUCUCGCACUCAAGUAAUCUCGUAAAAAUAGUUGAUAGGCUCGAUAAACGAAUGAAGAUAGUAAAUCUUUCUUGUUCACGGUGUAAUAAUCAAAUUUGGUUGUAUGCCUACUGAGUGCUACUAUUGCAUGGGGCAAGCUAUCAUAGAUCGAUAAGUGUUCUUUCUGCAGUCUUACUACUAUUAUAUGAUCAUUUUGUUUGCCUUGAAACUCGUGAAUCGUGUUCACGCAAAACUUUUCUUUUUCCAGCGCAGCUUUCUCCUGCUGUGUGUACACUAAGUACUGAGCUCCUGCUAUUCGCGGUAAUUGAUCGAGGUUUACGAAAUCGUGCAGUGACAUUUCAGAAUGUACUUUUGACGUGGUAGUCAUCCCUCUGUCAUACAUAUCGGAUAAUACUGCACAGGUGGUUAACGUGCAACGAUGUGAUACAGUUAAGUAUUCAAUUUUAUCAAUUAAUUGUUGAUGUACGUUUUGGUAUAACGUAUCACGUAAUGGCGAUCUGUUUAUGUACUGGAUUUGAUGUCCAUCUCCGAUGAGUAUCACUUCUUUUACUUUCGAUUUUGCAAUAGCUAAAAUAAUUUCACCGAAAUGUACCAACAUGGCUUCGUCGAUGAUAAGUCGUUUAUAUUGUUGAUCAUUACUAUGCAUUAAGUACGAAUCGAUGGUGCGGUAAUUUUUAACUACAUCUUGAUUUUCUAUGUCUAGGUUGCGUAAUUUACAUAAACGAGUACGAAAAUCUUUACAUCCUUCCUUCGUUGGAAAUAAUACCAAAUCUGUUCCAUCAGUGUUUACGUGUUUGAGUAAGUAUGUGGUUUUUCCACAUCCAGCCACACCUUGGACCAUUUUGGUUGAUGGCAUUACGAAAUCAUCGAAUGAAAUGUUUUUG